AUAUUAUUAAGCGGAGGAAAAGAAACCAACAGGGAUUGCCCUAGUAACGGCGAGUGAAGCGGCAAGAGCUCAGAUUUGGAAUCCGGCCCUAGGCCCGAGUUGUAAUCUGCAGAUGAGCCUCCGGCGAAGCGCUGUCCAGGUUCCCUGGGAGGGGACGCCAUAGAGGGUGAGAGCCCCGUACGGACGUGCGCCUAGCCUCUGUGAGGCCCAUUCGACGAGUCGAGUAGUUUGGGAAUGCCGCUCCAAGUGGGAGGUAAAUUUCUUCUAAAGCUAAAUACCGGCCAGAGACCGAUAGCGCACAAGUA
rnacentral:rRNA from 1 species